UACGUAGGGGGCGAGCGUUGUCCGGAUUUAUUGGGCGUAAAGAGCUCGUAGGCGGUUUGUCGCGUCUGCCGUCAAAGUCCGGGGCUCAACUCCGGAUCUGCGGUGGGUACGGGCAGACUAGAGUGAUGUAGGGGAGACUGGAAUUCCUGGUGUAGCGGUGAAAUGCGCAGAUAUCAGGAGGAACACCGAUGGCGAAGGCAGGUCUCUGGGCAUUAACUGACGCUGAGGAGCGAAAGCAUGGGGAGCGAACAGG
rnacentral:rRNA from 1 species